AAUAAGUUAAGUAAGGGCGUAUGGCGGAUGCCUAGGCUCUCAGAGACGAUGAAGGACCUGAUAAGCUGCGAAAAGUUACGGGGAGAAGCACAUAUUUUAUGAUCCGUAAAUAUCCGAAUGG
rnacentral:rRNA from 1 species